rnacentral:rRNA from 1 species
CACAAGCGGAGGAGCAUGUGGUUUAAGUUUCGAUGAUACGCGAGGAACUUACCUGGGCUUAAAUGCUUAAUGACGUACUGGGAAACUGGUAUUUCUUCGGACAUUUUGCAAGGUGCUGCAUGGUUGUCGUCAGCUCGUGCCGUGAGGUGUCGGGUUAAGUCCCAUAACGAGCGCAACCCCUAUUGUUAGUUGCCAUCAGGUCAUGCUGGGGACUCUAACAAAACUGCCCGCGUAAGCGUGGAGGAAGGUGGGGAUGACGUCAAAUCAGCACGGCCCUUACGUCCAGGGCUACACACGUGCUACAAUGGCCGGUACAGAGGGCAGUCACUUGGUGACAAGGAGCAAAUCUCAAAAGCCGGUCUCAGUUCGGAUCGGAGUCUGCAACUCGACUCCGUGAAGUUGGAUUCGCUAGUAAUCGUAGAUCAGCAAUGCUACGGUGAAUACGUUCCCGGGCCUU